rnacentral:tRNA from 1 species
CUGUAGCUCAACUGGAUAGAGCAUCGGGUUUCUACCCCGACGGUUGCAGGUUCGAGUCCUGUCAG